UUAGCUGCCUGGCAUAGGAGAGUCACAACAGUGGUUUCCCAGAGUCAGGCUCAUCCACUGCACCUAGUGUUCUGACCCCUGUAAUUUCCCAAAUGCAGAAAACUCACCUGUGUAAUCUGCAGAAGUGGGGAUGGACUGUGUUCAUGCUUCUCCCAU